rnacentral:rRNA from 1 species
GAUGAACGCUGGCGGCGUGCUUAACACAUGCAAGUCGAACGAAGCACCUUGAUUUGAUUCUUCGGAUGAAGAUCUUGGUGACUGAGUGGCGGACGGGUGAGUAACGCGUGGGUAACCUGCCUCAUACAGGGGGAUAACAGUUAGAAAUGACUGCUAAUACCGCAUAAGACCACAGCACCGCAUGGUGCAGGGGUAAAAACUCCGGUGGUAUGAGAUGGACCCGCGUCUGAUUAGGUAGUUGGUGGGGUAACGGCCUACCAAGCCGACGAUCAGUGCCCGACCUGAGAGGGUUACCGGCCACAUUGGGACGGAGACACGGCCAAAACUCCUACGGGAGGCAGCAGCGGGGAAUAUUGCACAAUGGGGGAAACCCUGAUGCAGCGACGCCGCGUGAGUGAUGAAGUAUUUCGGUAUGUAAAGCUCUAUCAGCAGGGAAGAAAAUGACGGUACCUGACUAAGAAGCACCGGCUAAAUACGUGCCAGCCGCCGCCUAACAC